AGCCAUGUGUUGAGUACUUGAGUACAUAGCUAGCGAACUAUUCUUUCGCCUUUUUACUGAAAACUACCGCGAGCACAACACUCUAAGUGGCAUACGCCAUUUUUUGAAAAUGGUGCACCUCU